rnacentral:rRNA from 1 species
AGCAGCCGCGGUAAUUCCAGCUCCAAUAGCGUAUAUUAAAGUUGUUGCAGUUAAAAAGCUCGUAGUUGAAUUUCGGGAUCAAUGCGUCGGUCUUGCUUCGGUACGUACUGGCGUCAUUGAUUUCUCCCUUCUGACGAACCAUGAUGUCAUUAAUUUGGUGUUAUGGGAAAUCAGGACUGUUACUUUGAAAAAAUUGAGUGUUUAAAGCAGGCUCACGCUUGAAUACAUUAGCAUGGAAUAAUGAAAUAGGACGUUCGAUCCUAUUUUGUUGGUUUUAGGAUCAACGUAAUGAUUAAUAGGGAUAGUUGGGGGCAUUAGUAUUCAAUUGUCAGAGGUGAAAUUCUUGGAUUUAUUGAAGACUAACUACUGCGAA